CAAAUUAUAAAGUAAGCAAAUACUACUAACAUUUGAAAAACUAGGUAUCUGAAAGAAGAUCAGUAAGAUCUUAUUGUCAGAACCUUAUACUAGUGUAAACAAAAUGUUAUAUUAUAAAGUAACUAUAAGUACAACAAAAUAAAAAUAAAAUAUUCAUACAUAUAUCACUUUGUAGUAUAUAUACACUCUAAAAAAAAAUCCGUUAAAAUAUCAACGGAGUAACUCCGUUGACAGUAACUCCGUUAAACUCCGUAAAGGAUACAGAUUUAAUUGAUACAAAUUAAGGGAGUAAUCCGUUGUUUUACAACGGAUUACUUCUUUAAAUAUAAUAUAACAGAAUAACUUUGUUAAGUUAACGGAGUUCAAGCGUGUAUAAAGGAGUUCAUAAAUAUUACUUUGAACACUUAAUAUUUAUUUGAAACUAAAAACUUAUUUAAAUUAGUGUAUUCAAUUUUAAUUAGUGAAUAUUAUCAUGUGUCUUUAAGAAUGUCUGUGCUAAUCAAAGUAUGGUCUUCUGAUCGAAUUAUUAAGAAGUUAGUUGCCAUCAAUAACAGUGAAGAAUUUGCUGCAAAAGUGCGUUGCAAGUUUGGUUUGAAAUCAGAUCAACUUGUUAGCUUUGUCUACAAAAAUGAUGGCACUGAAGUUGAUGAAGUUGAUUUUGAAAUAAUAAAACAAUUAGCAGAAUCAAACACAAUUCUCAUUCUACUCAUAGAUGGUCAGCAGUAGACUAAUGCUGUUUCGACAAAUUCAAAUUCACCCUUAAUGUUGCCUUCGAUGCAGCCAAAUCAAACUACAAUAACUUCUAGUAUUACACUCUCAGAAUCUAGUGUUUCUGUUAACAACAGCCAUAUAAUGAAAGGUGCAAAUGAGGCGUUUGUUUCAGCUAAUUCAAUUAAAGCCUUUCUUGCGCAACACCCUAGUACUUGUCAAUAUACUGAAGAGAUUGAAUCUGGUAAAGUUUCAAUCUCUACUAGACAGCACAUCAUUCGAGUUGUUGUGCACAAAAUGAUGAGUGUGUAUGGUAAUUAUCCUGAUCGAUAUCAAAAGAUUUUAGUGGCAGCAGUGCUAAGUGAGGCACUGGUACUUCCAGCAUGCAUUUUUUAUGAUUCUACUAAUUAUCAUGGCUUCCUGGAGAGAGGAUUGGAAAAUGCUAGAAGAAAGUUACCUGGUGUUUAUUAAAAUUAGUUAAAUUAAUUGAAUAUAAAUUUAACUGUAGAUGCUUACCAACUUUUUUUUAUAUUAGCAACUUGCUUUGUAAUCUCCUUGUUGUGUGUUAUUGUGAUGUAAUUUCUCCACUGUAUGUCUCGAUUGCAAAUAAUUCAUUUUAGUUACUAAAAGUUUAUUUGAAUCAUUGCCUUAUUUUGUGUCAUACAAGCAGCUACAUUUACAAGCUAUGAAAAAAAGUUUGUUUGGUCUCGUAAAAGGGGACACAACUUAACUUGUUGUGAUACAACUAAACUUGCAGGUACUGAACUAUCUCAACCAGUGGAUCAUGCAGUAGAAUCUGAAGGGUGUCCCUGUGGUUUCAUGUUUUGCGCAUUAUGUUUAGGAAUGAGCAACCUCGAUGAAAUUAAAAAGCUUGAUUCAUUAUCUUCUACACGUGUAGAAGAAGUUAAGGCUUCUACAAAGUCAACGUUUUGUUUUUGGCAGAAUUGGGUUCAUUCAACAGAUCAACCUUCAUUAUCCCGACUGAUGGUUAAAUUUCCAAAGUUCAGGAUUAUUCCAGAGCUGAUUGAUAUGGAAUUUCAAUUAAAAUAUUCAGACUGCAUGGUUGAUAUCCUGAAAACCUUUAAUCAGACUGUUGCAGACCCAGUAUUAAAAUAUGCUUCACUGUCAAAUAGUGAUUACAUCAAAGCUCUAGCUAUAAUGGCAUCUAAAAAACAUCAUGAUUGGAAAGCUUAUUAUGCAUGCAAGCUUUUGUGCUCGCUUCUGCGACAAGGGGGAAACAGAAACGUUCUGCUCCAGAAGUAGCCAAUGAAAUCAUUCGGAUAUGCAGUGCUGAGCAUGGACUGCAAGAUGUUGCAGAAAAGUUGGAGUCCCCUUAUCCGGUAAUAUUAAUACAGGGGAUUGAGGGUGAAAAAAUUCUCUCUAUAAAGAUUGCAUUUGAAAAAACUUUGAUUGAAGCCGGCACAUCUAUUGUAGAAGGCAUCGAUCGUUUAUUCAAGAUUUUUUGGUGUUUUAACAUCGAAUACCAGCCAUCAACAAUCAUGUUCUGGCAGUUUAUGCAAGAUAUUUAUGGGCUGCAGUACGGUUCGUUGCCUAAUGGAGUGGUUGAGCUGCGAUCAACACUCUCUAAAUAUGUUUUUACUUAAAUGUAUCAUUUAUUUAUCUUAAUAUACAUGAAGAUUUACAAUUUUGUUA